rnacentral:rRNA from 1 species
UGAGCAACCUGCCCUUGACUCUGGAAUAACAGUUGGAAACAGCUGCUAAUACCGGAUACGACCUCCGACGGCAUCAUCUGGAGGUGGAAAGCUCCGACGGUCAAGGAUGGGCUCGCGGCCUAUCAGCUUGUUGGUGAGGUAAUGGCUCACCAAGGCGACGACGGGUAGCCGGCCUGAGAGGGUGUCCGGCCACACUGGGACUGAGAUACGGCCCAGACUCCGUAGGGAGG